rnacentral:rRNA from 1 species
CCCUAUGGGGUGCAGCAGGCGCGAAAACUUUACAAUGCGGGCAACCGUGAUAAGGAAACCCCGAGUGCCACCACAGGGUGGCUGUCCACCAGUGUAAAAAACUGGUGAAGAAAGGGCCGGGCAAGACCGGUGCCAGCCGCCGCGGUAAUACCGGCGGCUCGAGUGGUGGCCGCUUUUACUGGGCUUAAAGGGUCCGUAGCUUGAUUCACAAGUCCCUUGAGAAAUCCAUCGGCUUAACUGAUGGGCGUUCAGGGGAUACUGUGGUUCUAGGGACCGGGAGAGGUGAGAGGUACUGCCGGGGUAGGAGUGAAAUCCUGUAAUCCCGGUGGGACGACCUAUGGCGAAGGCAUCUCACCAGAACGGCUCCGACAGUGAGGGACGAAAGCUGGGGGAGCAAACCGG